rnacentral:rRNA from 1 species
CAGUAGCCGCGGGAAUACGAAGGGGGCUAGCGUUGUUCGGAAUUACUGGGCGUAAAGCGCACGUAGGCGGAUAUUUAAGUCAGGGGUGAAAUCCCGCAGCUCAACUGCGGAACUGCCUUUGAUACUGGGUAUCUUGAGUAUGGAAGAGGUUAGUGGAAUUGCGAGUGUAGAGGUGAAAUUCGUAGAUAUUCGCAGGAACACCAGUGGCGAAGGCGGCUAACUGGUCCAUAACUGACGCUGAGGUGCGAAAGCGUGGGGAGCAAACAGGAUUAGAUACCCGUGUAGUCCCUGUCUCUUAUAC